UGGGGAAUAUUGGGCAAUGGGCGAAAGCCUGACCCAGCAACGCCGCGUGAAGGAAGAAGGUUUUCGGAUUGUAAACUUCUGUCCUCAGGGAAGAAGGAAGUGACGGUACCUGAGGAGGAAGCCCCGACUAACUACGUGCCAGCAGCCGCGGUAAUACGUAGGGGGCGAGCGUUGUCCGGAAUGACUGGGCGUAAAGGGCGCGUAGACGGUUUUUUAAGUCUGGAGUGAAAGUCCUGCUUUCAAGGUGGGAAUUGCUUUGGAGACUGGGGGACUUGAGUGCGGAAGAGGUAAGUGGAAUUCCCAGUGUAGCGGUGAAAUGCGUAGAGAUUGGGAAGAACACCAGUGGCGAAGGCGACUUACUGGGCCGUAACUGACGCUGAGGCGCGAAAGCCAGGGGAGCAAACGGG
rnacentral:rRNA from 2 species